rnacentral:rRNA from 1 species
CCAGCACCCCGAGUGGCCGGGACGAUUAUUGGGCCUAAAGCAUCCGUAGCCGGUUUUACAAGUCCUCCGUUAAAUCCAACUGCUUAACAGAUGGGCCGCGGAGGAUACUAUAAGACUAGGAGGCAGGAGAGGCAAGCGGUACUCAGUGGGUAGGGGUAAAAUCCGUUGAUCCAUUGAAGACCACCAGUGGCGAAGGCGGCUUGCCAGAAUGCGCUCGACGGUGAGGGAUGAAAGCUGGGGGAGCAAACCGGAUUAGAUACCCGGGUAGUCCCAGCUGUAAACGAUGCAGACUCGGUGAUGGACUAGCUUUAUGCUAGUCCAGUGCCGCAGGGAAGCCGUUAAGUCUGCCGCCUGGGUAGUACGGUCGCAAGACUG